UACGUAGGGGGCAAGCGUUGUCCGGAUUUAUUGGGCGUAAAGAGCGUGUAGGCGGCCUGGAAGGUCAGCUGUGAAAACUCGAGGCUCAACCUCGAGACGUCGGUUGAAACCAUCUGGCUAGAGUCCGGAAGAGGAGAGUGGAAUUCCCGGUGUAGCGGUGAAAUGCGCAGAUAUCGGGAAGAACACCCGUGGCGAAGGCGGCUCUCUGGGACGGUACUGACGCUGAGACGCGAAAGCGUGGGGAGCGAACAGG
rnacentral:rRNA from 1 species